UUCUAUGUUCAUAUUGAAAGACCCCCGGAGCAGGGAGACCCUCACUCAAGUCUCGGGAUGAUGCGACCCCCCAAGAACUCACGAGAGACU
rnacentral:pre_miRNA from 14 species